rnacentral:misc_RNA from 1 species
UUUCGUCUGUGUGAGGGUCGGCUAGUGUCAAAACAAUCGCGUCGCUUGCUCUUGCGACGCGCUCUGGACCUUCGCGGCCGUAAAAUCCGGCGCUCACCGAAUCGCUCGCUCGGCGGUUUGCGUGUUGCGCCCGGUGGCCCCGUGGUCUUAAGCACAAGCCGCGCCGUUGUCCGUGUUCGUCUCGGGACGUCCGCGACGCCGCCUUGCUCUCGGCGGCGGCCAAAUUUCCUCUCCGUCACCGCUAUGCGGGACCCGGCUCGCUCUCGCUAACGGGCCCGCUUAUAACCAGCUUCAGGGUGACGGGCGGAGGAGAGAAGCUUACGCUGACGCUCGAUCGACGAGUCGGCGCCCGUACGAAAAAAAUUGGAAAAAAAAUAACCGUGCGUUGCGCGUUAUUUUUUUUUUUCCUUUCUUUCCGACCUCAGAUCGGACGAGAUUACCCCCUGAAUUAAACCAUAGAAA